CAGCACUUGAUACGAACCGAGCUCUCUAUAUCCUAGCCUUGUGCUGAAGGCUUGCCAUGUGUGGUGAGAGCGGGGUUGAAGCAGUGCAAUAUUAAAACAAAAGCCAUGAGUCUUUAAGCCCAGUGUGUAAAGACUCACCGUGAGUUAUAACUCAGUGGCACAACU